AAGUUCUUAGUAUAUUUAGUAUUUUUAAUUGCAAAUUAAAGGGUUAAGAAUUUU
rnacentral:tRNA from 1 species